CCAGGGCCUUGUGUUUGACAGGCCAGCAUCCGGGAUUGCUAAGCAGGACCCCUUGGAGACACCGACCAGAUCUGCUGUGCUGUGAUACCUGAGGCAGUGUGAGAAGUCACUGCUUUGGGGAGACCUGAUCUGGCUGUGUAAGAUGGGCACUGAGGAGGAAGAGGAAGCCUGGAAAUUAGAAG